UGGCAUCCAGCUUAACGAGUUUUAUAACUUUCAUAAACUACAGAUUGAAGGUUUGGAGGAAAAGUCAAAGCAGACUGAGUCGCCUGAGCUCUGAUGCUGAUUACCAGAGCCUGACCAGCGGGGACGUAGAGCUGAGCUCUGUGUUCUGGAGUUGGAGACAGAAAUCUGGGCAGAUAGUCGCCUUCUGCACAGGACGGCACCGGUGGACCCACUGGAGAUGAGACGCUGAGGACAGACGGCGGUGUACACGGGUCGCACUCUGAAUCUAAU